AUACGGAGGGUGCAAGCGUUACUCGGAAUCACUGGGCGUAAAGCGCGCGCAGGCGGGCUGAUAAGUUGGAUGUGAAAGCCUACGGCUCAACCGUAGAACUGCAUCCAAAACUGUCAGUCUAGAGUGUGGGAGAGGAAGAUGGAAUUAGUUGUGUAGGGGUAAAAUCCGUAGAGAUAACUAGGAAUACCAAAAGCGAAGGCAAUCUUCUGGAACACUACUGACGCUGAGGCGCGAAGGCGUGGGGAGCAAACAGGAGUAGAAACCCCUGUAGUCC
rnacentral:rRNA from 1 species